AGCGAACGCUGGCGGCAGGCUUAACACAUGCAAGUCGAGCGGGCACUUUCGGGUGUCAGCGGCGGACGGGUGAGAAACGCGUGGGAACGUGCCCUCUGGUUCGGAAUAACUCAGGGAAACUUGAGCUAAUACCGGAUACGCCCUUUUGGGGAAAGGCUUGCUGCCGGAGGAUCGGCCCGCGUCUGAUUAGCUAGUUGGUGAGGUAACGGCUCACCAAGGCGACGAUCAGUAGCUGGUCUGCGAGGAUGAUCAGCCACACUGGGACUGAGACACGGCCCAGACUCCUACGGGAGGCAGCAGUGGGGAAUAUUGGACAAUGGGCGCAAGCCUGAUCCAGCCAUGCCGCGUGAGUGAUGAAGGCCUUAGGGUUGUAAAGCUCUUUUAUCCGGGACGAUAAUGACGGUACCGGAGGAAUAAGCCCCGGCUAACUUCGUG
rnacentral:rRNA from 1 species